UCUCGAAUGUUCCGCCUAUAGUGCUGUG
rnacentral:sRNA from 1 species